UUUUUUUUUUUAAAUUUCCCCAAUUAUCUUCUAUUCGUUAAACCCACAUAAACGCUGUAAUAUGUCUACACUGGCGAAACGUUUUACUACAUAAAUUGUGUGAGAACGCAGAAGCUUGGGAGUCUACGUCAUAAGAAAAAUUAUAUUCAAGAAACGUUCGGUAUAGUGCAAUAGUGGUUUUAAUUUCUUAUGUGUUGUUUGAAAUUAAAAUUCUUAAACAUUCUUAUUACAAAAAUGUAAUCAAUCAUCGU
rnacentral:lncRNA from 1 species